rnacentral:rRNA from 1 species
AGUGAACGCUGGCGGUAGGCCUAACACAUGCAAGUCGAACGGCAGCACAGGAGAGCUUGCUCUCUGGGUGGCGAGUGGCGGACGGGUGAGGAAUACAUCGGAAUCUACUCUGUCGUGGGGGAUAACGUAGGGAAACUUACGCUAAUACCGCAUACGACCUACGGGUGAAAGCAGGGGACCCUCGGGCCUUGCGCGAUUGAAUGAGCCGAUGUCGGAUUAGCUAGUUGGCGGGGAAAAGGCCCACCAAGGCGACGAUCCGUAGCUGGUCUGAGAGGAGGAUCAGACACACUGGAACUGGGACACGGUCCAGACUCCUACGGGAGGCAGCAGUGGGGAAUGUUGGACAAUGGGCGCAAGCCUGAUCCAGCCAUACCGCGUGGGUGAAGAAGGCCUUCGGGUUGUAAAGCCCUUUUGUUGGGAAAGAAAUCCAGCUGGCUAAUACCCGGUUGGGAUGACGGUACCCAAAGAAUAAGCACCGGCUAACUUCGUGCCAGCCGCCGCGGUAA